rnacentral:rRNA from 1 species
CAGGAUGAACGCUGGCGGCGUGCCUAAUACAUGCAAGUCGAGCGAACCACUUCGGUGGGAAGCGGCGAACGGGUGAGUAACACGUAGGUGAUCUGCCCAUCAGACGGGGACAACGAUUGGAAACGAUCGCUAAUACCGGAUAGGACGAAAGUUUAAAGAUGCUCCUGGCAUCACUGAUGGAUGAGCCUGCGGCGCAUUAGCUAGUUGGUGGGGUAAAGGCCUACCAAGGCGACGAUGCGUAGCCGACCUGAGAGGGUGAACGGCCACACUGGGACUGAGACACGGCCCAGACUCCUACGGGAGGCAGCAGUAGGGAAUCUUCGGCAAUGGGCGAAAGCCUGACCGAGCAACGCCGCGUGAAUGAAGAAGGCCUUCGGGUUGUAAAAUUCUGUUAUAAGGGAAGAAAGGUGAUAGGAGGAAAUGACUAUCAAUUGACGGUACCUUAUGAGAAAGCCACGGCUAACUACGUGCCAGCAGCCGCGGUAAUACGUAGGUGGCAAGCGUUAUCCGGAAUUAUUGGGCGUAAAGAGCGCGCAGGUGGUUAAUUAAGUCUGAUGUGAAAGCCCACGGCUUAACCGUGGAGGGUCAUUGGAAACUGGUUGACUUGAGUGCAGAAGAGGGAAGUGGAAUUCCAUGUGUAGCGGUGAAAUGCGUAGAGAUAUGGAGGAACACCAGUGGCGAAGGCGGCUUCCUGGUCUGCAACUGACACUGAGGCGCGAAAGCGUGGGGAGCAAACAGGAUUAGAUACCCUGGUAGUCCACGCCGUAAACGAUGAGUGCUAGGUGUGCGGGGACUGACCCCCUCAGUGCAGGAGUAACAACAAUAAGUAUUGCACCUGGGGAGUACGAUCGCAAGGUUGAAACUCAAAGGAAUUGACGGGGGCCCGCACAAGCGGUGGAUUAUGUGGUUUAAUUCGAAGCAACGCGAAGAACCUUACCAGGGCUUGACAUCCUGCUAACGAAGUAGAGAUACAUCAGGUGCCCUUCGGGGAAAACAGAGACAGGUGGUGCAUGGUUGUCGUCAGCUCGUGUCGUGAGAUGUUGGGUUAAGUCCCGCAACGAGCGCAACCCCUAUUGUUAGUUGCUACGCAAGAGCACUCUAGCGAGACUGCCGUUGACAAAACGGAGGAAGGCGGGGACGACGUCAAAUCAUCAUGCCCCUUAUGUCCUGGGCUACACACGUAAUACAAUGGCGGUCAACAGAGGGAUGCAAAGCCGCGAGGCAGAGCGAACCCCCAAAAAGCCGUC